UCGUAACAAGGUUUCCGUAGGUGAACCUGCGGAAGGAUCAUUACUGAGUGCGGGCUGCCUCCGGGCGCCCAACCUCCCACCCGUGACUACCUAACACUGUUGCUUCGGCGGGGAGCCCUCUCGGGGGCGAGCCGCCGGGGACUACUGAACUUCAUGCCUGAGAGUGAUGCAGUCUGAGUCUGAAUAUAAAAUCAGUCAAAACUUUCAACAAUGGAUCUCUUGGUUCCGGCAUCGAUGAAGAACGCAGCGAACUGCGAUAAGUAAUGUGAAUUGCAGAAUUCAGUGAAUCAUCGAGUCUUUGAACGCACAUUGCGCCCCCUGGCAUUCCGGGGGGCAUGCCUGUCCGAGCGUCAUUGCUGCCCAUCAAGCCCGGCUUGUGUGUUGGGUCGUCGUCCCCCCCGGGGGACGGGCCCGAAAGGCAGCGGCGGCACCGUGUCCGGUCCUCGAGCGUAUGGGGCUUUGUCACCCGCUCGAUUUAGGGCCGGCCGGGCGCCAGCCGACGUCCAACCAUUUUUUCUUCAGGUUGACCUCGGAUCAGGUAGGGAUACCCGCUGAACUUAAGCAUAUCAAUAA
rnacentral:misc_RNA from 1 species